CUGUCACUCUCCAGGACAUCUAGAAGGUCAUCUCUUCCUUGCCUUUUCCACCCCCUUCCCCUGAAGCAGCAGCUGCAAAACAACAAAUGAGUAUUUUUUUACUGGGAAUGAACUCUGUUUCCAACUCUAUGUGAAGUCCUCAACAUACAUCAACUUACUGAAUCUUCAUCAAACUCUUGGGAGGCAAUGUUUUCAAUGUCAGGUAACUUGCCCAAGGCCACACAGCCAGAAAUUAGUGAUACAUCGAUUCAAACUCAGUGAUGGAGGCACCCAUGGAAUGCAGAGACUAAGUGAAGUGUGUAAUAGACCCCCAAAAGCUGCAGCCGUAAAACUGUCCACACAACCCCGGGGGGUUGCAGCUGUACAUGGCAGAGGGUCAUGUGUAUGUAAGGAGUACAGAGCAGAAGAUGAGCAAAGAGAAGGCAGUGCUCCUCUGGCUUUUUGAUCCCCAAGUUGCCAGGUGUCUAAGAAGCAUAGCAGUCUUCCAAUCAAGUAGUGCCACAUCUGGGCCUGAUACAGAGCCUCUGAUGCAUCUCACCCUGAUGAAGAGAUCACAGGAAUCACUCAGAGAACCUGGGCAUCGAACUAGGAGCUGGUAACAGAUAUGUUGUGGGUUUCAUUUGCCUGCUGUGUUGGAGUUAGGUGUGGCCACAGGACUUGCUUUGGCCGGGAAGAUUACCUUUUGUGGACUGCACAAAGAUGGGCCAGGGAGAAGGGCUUGACUUAGGCUCACCUUGCCAACAAGCGCCAACAGCCUUGCACCCAGCUUUUCUGAAGUAUGCUCCCUGAUGUCCUGCAUAAACAGUGACCCUGUGCACCGAGCCGCGCUUCUCUUGGAUUUCCCAUGUCGUCAGCAUAUCCGAGGCUCUCAGGAGCUUCAAAGUAUAUGCCUGUGAUGACUUUCUAGCCUUGUUGGAAAACGGAAUCUUCAUAUUUUAUAUUUACAUUGUUAUAUAUUUAUAUAUAUUUAAAAAUAUACAAUCUGGAUUUUUAUACUUAUAUAUUUUCAUUUUAUAUUUUAUACUGACUUUCAUAUUUAUGGCAUUCCUAUGAAUACAUCCUGAGAAUCAACUUUUGGGAAAGGUCUAUUUGGAUCACGCUGUAUGUGCAACUUGACAGUUUGCUCAUCACUUAACAUCAGCAUUAAAAUGCCUUCACCAACUUUACUUUAAGGUUGCUGCGUAACAAGGAUAUACUAAUUACUAAUAUGGAUAUACUAAUAUACUAAACUAUACUUAAUAGUACCUUAUUAUCAGGUAUUAAUUAUGCCCCAGCAAUUACAAAUGAUGUUGUAGUGAAUUUCUUUGUGCGUAAUAUUUUUCCACAUUUCUGAUUAUAUCCUUGGGAAAGACUCCUGGAAGUAGAAUUACUGGAUCAAAGGUUGGAGGUAUUUUGAAGGCCUUUGACAUAUAACGUCAAUUUUUUUUUCUAUAAAAAUCUGUGUCUAUUUAUACUCCUGACUGCAGAGUGUGAGAAUGUUCAUGCCUUAUAUCCUUCCCACAUUGUGCAUUCAAAAAUAUAAAAUCCUGACAAUUGGAAAGGGGAUACAUUUUAUCUCAUUUUGAUAUGGGUCACAAAAAAUGGCAAGAUUUGUAUUAGCCAAGGUCAAAAGGGAGGGACUCCUGGGGGUGGGGAGGAGCCCUAUCUAAGACUCAGGGUUAGAAAUGGUUGGGAGCUUCCCCAGUUAGCUCCUAAUUGGGCAUCUAAACAGGCUUUUGGCUCAGACUAGGUUUAUGCCUGCAGACUUCUCGCAACAAGUAAUCUACGAAGGCAGCUAAGGGAAAUGCCUAGUUAGGGUUGCACUAAUGUGGAUAUAUGAUCAGAAAGAGACUCACAUUAACCCUCUGCUAGAAUAGCAGGGACACACUGUGAUUGAAAAAUGAUCAGGCCAGGAGGCAGCAAAAAUAAAUGUGUCAAUGCAAUGGCUCAACCACUAAAGAAGGAAAUUAGGUAAAGUGACCUUUCCCGGGGGGAGAGAAGAACUUUAAUUCCUGACUGUUCGUGAAUCACUGGUGACCGCAGUUGGCACCAGGCCUGUCCCUGUGAUGAUGCCCAAGGCCUCAGCUGACCAAAGACACUUUGCUCCUUGGAAACCUCAGGGGUGAUUCAUACACCAUUUGUGUGUGUGUGGUGUGUGUGUGUGUGUGUCUGCUGUUGGCUGGCCAGUGAAUCAGAGGCCAGUGAGCCAGGAAGGGUAGGUAGCAGGGACAGUGCCAAAGGAAGUCUGAGUUGGGAGAAAGCUGGUACUCCAGGGUGAGCCUGGGGCCAGGGCCACCUCCCAAGAGGAGGAGAAGAAGAUCAAGCUCUGACAGGUCGGUCCAAGUGUCUUUAAAGGGUCACAUUGAAAGUUCUGAGUUGAUUCUGAAUUCCCAGGAAAUGCGGUGUUUUUGAAUGCAGCUAUGCAACAUGAAAUACAUUCACCUACCAACUACUACAUGCCAGGGAGGGACCUUCAGGGCUGCAGGAGGUGUGAUGCCUAUCAGACACAUGCUUUGACUUCAGAAUUUUCAAUAAACAGUAGGGGGCACGUAUCCUGUAAUGGGAAUUGAGAUGAACCUUACUGACCAGGUGCAAAGCACUGUGAGACCCCAGGGAAUGUAGAGACGACUUCUGGCUGGGAGAGGGUGGUGUUUAAUAUGGGUAUGGAAGGACUGUUAAGAUUUCACUAAGAAUAGAUGGCAAGGAAAAAUUCUAGGCCAAUGGAGCAGAAACCCUUAACUCCUUCCUUCCUUCAUAUCUUUUCUAUUGUCAGAGAUGGUACUAGGUUUGGGGUAUAUGGAGAUACACUCAUUGUUUCU